CCUACGGGUGGCAGCAGUGAGGAAUAUUGGUCAAUGGGCGGAAGCCUGAACCAGCCAAGUCGCGUGAGGGAUUAAGGCCCUGUGGGUCGUAAACCUCUUUUGCCGGGGAGCAGAGGUCCGGACGUGUCCGGGCCGGGAGAGUACCCGGAGAAAAAGCAUCGGCUAACUCCGUGCCAGCAGCCGCGGUAAUACGGAGGAUGCGAGCGUUAUCCGGAUUUAUUGGGUUUAACGGGUGCGUAGGCGGGCAUUUAAGCCGGCGGUCAAAUGUCGGGGCUCAACCCCGGCAUGCCGUCGGACAUGGGUGCCUUGAGUGGGCGAGAAGUAUGCGGAAUGCGUGGUGUAGCGGUGAAAUGCAUAGAUAUCACGCAGAACCCCGAUUGCGAAGGCAGCAUACCGGCGCCCUACUGACGCUGAGGCACGAAAGUGCGGGUAUCGAACAGGAUUAGAUACCCGGGUAGUC
rnacentral:rRNA from 1 species